rnacentral:misc_RNA from 1 species
GUUUUUUAUAGUCGGUGAGUAGAAAGAGGCCGUAGUUCACUUGUUCUUGUUCUUCCUUAUUAGGGCACAUUUCUGCCUCAUCUUCACGCACUCAAAUAAGCAAAAUCCUCAAUCUGCUCUUCAAUGGGAUUUGAACGAGCACUAGAUCUGCAGUGGAUAGAAAUCUAGCGUUGACAUUUUUGGGGAUGAAUUGGAAUUAAGGAUUUUGCACUUUUGGAACUCUAGGGGUUGUUUUUGAUUGAGUUUUGAAUUCCGGGUUCGAUCUGAUUUAUUUUGGAUUACAGAAUGGAGCCUACGGAGGUUAAAAAGAGGGGUCGAGGUCGACCAAGGAAACGGAGGCGAGAGGAGGAUGAAGCUGAUAAAAAGGCGGGUCUUGCUAUUAAGCAGGCUUUGGAAAUGAGAUGGAAGCCACUUGUGGGUAGAUAUGUAUUGAAAGAAUUUGAUGAUAAUGGAAUUUUUCUGGGAAAAAUAGUGUGCUAUGACAGUGGGUUAUAUCGAGUAGAUUAUGAGGGUGGGGAUUGUGAAGAUUUGGAGAGUGGUGAGCUACGUCAGUUAAUUUUAGGUGACGAUGAUUUUGAUCAUGAUUUGAGUGAAAGGAGGCAGAAAUUAGAUGAAUUAGUGUUAGGAAAGAGUUUAAAGAAUAAGAAGAAUUGGGAGAAGGAAGUAGUUGGUUUGAAAAAUGAGGUGGACAGGGUUGAAACAUCCGUAUUGACUGAUUUGAGUGGUGAAACAGCAGUUGAGAAUGUUGGGACACAUGGUGAGGGUGAUGCAGAUUCCUCGAGUGAUUCAUGUGAGUAUGCGCUAGAUGGAGAUUUGGAGCCAGAGGGGGAGGUCCCAACUGUACCACCCCCGCAAUUGCCUCCAUCAUCAGGGAGUGUAGGCGUGCCAGAGGAAUGUGUUUCAUAUAUUUUCUCAGUGUAUGGAUUCCUGAGGUCAUUUAAUGUUCGCCUCUUCUUGAGUCCAUUUACAUUGGAUGAUUUGGUUGGGGCAGUUAACUGUAAUGUUAAGAACACACUGCUGGAUGCCAUUCAUGUAGCUUUGAUGCUUGUGCUGAGACGACAUCUCGAAGCACUUUCUUCGGAUGGUUCAGAUAUUGCGUCAAAAUGCUUGAGGUGCUUUGAUUGGAGCUUACUGGACUCACUCACCUGGCCUGUUUAUUUGGUCCAAUAUUUUACAGUAAUGGGAUAUGCAAAAGGACCAGAGUGGAAAGGAUUUUAUGAUGAUCUGCUGAACAAGGAAUAUUGUUCCUUACCAGUGCGUAGGAAGCUGAUGAUUCUGCAAAUUCUGUGUGAUGAUGCCUUGGAUUGCGCAGAGCUAAGAGCAGAAAUUGAUAUGCGGGAAGAAUCAGAAGUUGGAUUAGAUCCUGAUGCACUCGCAACCAAUCUUCCUGAAAAUGGACCGAGAAGGGUCCAUCUCAGAUAUUCCAAGGCUUCAGCAUGCAAGGACAGGGAGGGUAUGGAGAUUAUUGCUGAAAGCCAUGGAACUAAGUCUUCUUGUAGUUCAAUGUAUUUGGGGUCCAAAUUUUCUAAAGGGGAGGGAGAUGGUCCUGGUGUUGAUGUAGACAUCAACAGUGACGAAUGCCGUCUUUGUGGCAUGGAUGGGACCUUGCUUUGUUGUGAUGGUUGCCCGUCAGCAUAUCAUUCCAGAUGCAUAGGCGUUGUCAAAACGUAUAUACCAGAAGGGCCAUGGUAUUGUCCAGAGUGCACAAUUAACAAGCAGGGACCUACUGUUGUCAUGGGAACCUCACUUAGAGGAGCUGAAAUAUUUGGUGUUGAUUUAUAUGAGCAAGUCUUCUUGGGUACUUGCAAUCACUUACUGGUGAUCAGAGCUUCAAUUGGCACUGAGCCAUGUCUGAGAUACUACAGUCCGAAGGAUAUACCAAUGGUGCUGCAAGUUCUUUCUUUCUCUGUGCAGCAUAGAUCUCUAUACUCGGAGAUAUCUAAGGCAAUUGCAGAGUAUUGGAAAAUUCCAGAAACUGCCUUUUUCCCUUUUGAGACAAUGAAAAGAGGUUUAGUUAUAUCAUCUAUGAAUGAAGAUGAAAAAUCUUCUACUUUAUCAGUUCCAUAUGCUUUCAAGGAAAGCUAUAAAGCUGCAUAUGCUGGUGAGGCUGAGAAUGUGAUUAGUUUAAAUGUAAGUAAUGUAGAUAAUGUGACUGUCUCAUGUCUUGAUGCCUCCAUCAAUACAACAAUACAAGUUCACCCUCAUGGUAUCCUGAGCAAUGGUGAUACAAAAAAUUGCCAUCUCCUGAAUACGAGAUUAACUGAGCAGAUUAAAGUGGAGUCUGCUGGUUCAGUUAACCAGCAGAUUGGUCCAUCAGAUGUAGCUCAACGUAGUUUUGUUGACAGAUCAAGUGUGAUAACUACUUGCACCUCUGCAAACAGUGAUGGAAGUCAUAUUGGGCAUGGGAAUGCUACUUCUUUACCAGCAAAUGCAUCAUCCCAAAGCAAGGAAAGCAAUCAUGCAGUCUUUGGAGGGGUUGAGGAAAACUUGAUGGAUAAUGUUGUGUAUAUGGGUACCUUUUUUAAGCCUUACUCUUACAUAAAUCACUACAUGCAUGGGGAUUUCGCAGCAUCUGCUGCUGCUAAUCUAGCUGUUCUUUCAUCUGAGGAAAGUCGUGUUUCAGAUACUCAUAAAUCGGGCAAUGCUAGGAAGGUCAUCUCUGACAUGUCAUUGCAAAUAAAAGCAUUUUCGAUGGCGGCCUCUCGUUUUUUCUGGCCAAGUUUUGAAAAGAGGCUUAUGGAGGUUCCAAGGGAGAGGUGUGGCUGGUGUCAUUCUUGUAAGCUCCCUUCUAAUAACAGAAGGGGAUGUAUGUUAAACUCAGCUGCCUUGACUGCUACUAAAGGUACCAUGAAGAUCCUCAGUGGCCUUCGUCCUAUAAUGAGUGGAGAGGGCAGUCUUCCUAGCAUUUCAACUUAUAUUUUGUACAUGGGAGAGGUUUUAUGUGGUAUUACAGUAGGCCCCUUUGUGAGCACAAGUUACAGAAAACAGUGGCGUAAAAGAAUAGAAGAUGCUUCAACUUGCAGUGCAAUAAAAGGCCCCUUGCUUGAACUUGAGGAAAACAUCCGCACUAUUGCUCUUUCUGGGGACUGGGCCAAGGCAAUGGAUGAUUGGUUGGUUGAUUCUCCUGUGAUUCAAUGUUCUACAAGCACCAUUGGAACCACACAAAAACGUGGACCAGGUGGGAAGCGGCAUAGGAGGCAAUCUGGUAUGUCUGACAUUAGAGCUGAUGGUUGUGAUGACAAAAGUUUUGUCUGGUGGCAAGGGGGAAAGCUACUAAAGCAUGUGUUCCAUAAACAAAGUUUGCCUCAGUCGGUGCUUAGAAGGGCAGCUAGGCAAGGUGGUUCAAGAAAGAUUUCUGGUGUGUAUUAUGCUGAUGAUCCUCAGCUUCCUAACAGAAGCAGACAGAUGGGUUGGAGAGCUGCAGUUGAGAAGAGUAAGAAUGCAUCACAGCUAGCACUUCAGGUUAGAUAUCUAGACAUUCAUGUGCGAUGGAGUGAUCUUGUUCGUCCUGAGCAGAAUCUUCUAGAUGGAAAAGGUCCAGAGACAGAAGCCUCCUGUUUUAGAAAUGCAAUCAUUUGUGAUAAGAAAACUGAUGAAAACAAGAUUAGUUACGGAGUCGCAUUUGGGAAUCAAAAACAUCUCCCUUCCCGCAUCAUGAAGAAUAUAAUUGAAAUAGAGCAAAGUGCAGAUGGAAAGGAGAAAUAUUGGUUUUUCGAAACACAUGUUCCUCUAUAUUUGAUCAAAGAGUAUGAAGAAAAGGUUGACAAGGUGUUUUUGCCAUCACCUAAUAAAUCUUUGAAUGAACUAUCUGAGUUACAGAGACGGCAAUUGAAAGCUUCUCGCAGGGAUAUAUUUUUAUAUCUUGCUUAUAAGAGAGAUAAGUUGGAGAGAUGCUCUUGUGCAUCGUGCCAAUGUGAUGUUUUACUUGGGAAUACAGUGAAGUGCAGUGGUUGCCAAGGUUAUUGUCAUAAAGACUGUACUGUAAGUUCAAAAAGUUAUAUGAAUGAGGAUGUUGAAUUUUUGAUUACCUGCAAGCAGUGUUACAAUGCCAAAGCUGUUACUCAUGAAAACAGUAAUGAGUCUCCGACUACUCCCUUGCCCUUACAAGGGCAGGAAUCUCAUAAUAUACAGACAGCCACCAAAAUCACAAGGAUUAAAUUUCGUAAUCAACCAUUAAUAUCUAUCAGAACCCAGGAGAGUAGCUCUGAGAUGAAACAAACUACUGCUUCUAGUCUGGCAACGAAAAACAGAAGUAGAUUAUGUAGUUGGGGUGUCAUUUGGAAGAAAAAGAACACUGACACAGGAAUUGAUUUCAGGCGUGAGAACAUUCUUUUUAAGGGCAAUUCAGAGAGGUUGAAGCCUGUUUGUAAUCUUUGCAAAAAGCCAUAUAAUCGUGAUCUGAUGUAUAUCCACUGUGAAACUUGCAACAGUUGGUUUCAUGCUGAAGCUGUAGAACUUGAUGAGUCAAAACUUCCAAACGUUGUGGGCUUCAAAUGCUGCAGGUGUCGUAGAAUAAAAUCACCCAAGUGUCCUUAUGAUGAUAAUUUUGAAGGUGAGAAGACAGUGAGCCAUAAGCAAUGUGAGAGGGUGUUAAAGAAACGAUAUAUAGGUGUUGGCUAUGAUUCUGGAACUGUUGCUGAAUCUAAAGAGUGUGAACCCAUUACUCUGAUGUUUCCUGUGGAGGAGUUGUUGGUACAAGAUGAUGAUCCUCUGCUUUUCUCUAUUUCAAGAGUUGAGCAAAUUACAAAGGACAACUCUGGAUCAGAGCUUGAAUGGAACGCUGCUGGACAGGGGCCACACAAACUACCAGUCAGAAGGCAUACAAAGCCUCAAAUAACUGCUGAAGAUAUGUUUGAGAACAAUCGUCACACUGAAUCGUCUGUGCCUGUUGGUAGGAAUAACCUCAUGAACCCUAAAGAGGAAUUACCUUCUUGUGUGGAGUGGGAUGUUUCCACUAAUGGCCUUGAAAGGGAGGUGAUGUUUGACUAUGAAAGUCAGAACUACGAGGAUAUGGAGUUUGAACCGCAGACAUACUUCUCUUUUACAGAGCUGUUGGCAUCUGAUGAUGGUGACCAGUUGGAUGGAUUUGAUGCUUCAGGGAAUGUUUUGGGGAACUCUGAAAAUCAGGUUUGUACAGUUUCACAGGAUGGGUUUCCUGAACAGUGUGCAAUGGAUAUUUCUGGUGAUCAGCAGGAAUCAAUGAUUGCUUCCAAAUCAACCAUUAAUACUAAGCAGUGUAAGAUGUGUUCACACUCAGAACCAGUCCCUGACCUUUCAUGUGAGGUUUGCAACUUAGUGAUACACAGUCAUUGUUCUCCUUGGGUUGAGUCCUCAUCUCCAGAAGGCACCUGGAGUUGUGGUAAUUGCCGAGAAUGGCGGUAGCAAUAUUGUUGCCUUGUGGCUGUGGGAUUUCAGAUUUUUUGGUUGGAUGCAGUGAUGCAGAUGCUUAUACAUUGGACAAGGUUUGUGAACUAAACCUUAGUCGACUCUUCAUUAUUAACAGGCAAGAAGAUGAUGAACCAUUUUGAUUCUUCAUUACUGACUCAGCUGGGGAUGCUUUUGUAAAAUGCGCAUUGGAGUUGAGGGGGCCCCUCUCUUGCAUUGCCAGAGUUGAUGAUGCUUCAGGGCAUAGUUCUCCCCCAUAUUCCUACUUACAGAAUCAGUCCUUGUGAAGUCCCGACCAUUUUUUACUCGGGUUUUUUCAGAUAACGGCACAAAUUGGUUCGCUUCACAGCCUCACAGAUGGUCCCUUAAUGGGAGAUAAGCAGGAUUUUUUAGUUGUGCUUAUCUGAUCACCUAGCUUGUAUAGAUCACAUUGCAACCCAAAUUUUUUUAAGAUAAGGUUGAAAGCAUGAUUUUACCAUUAUUUUAGCGGACCUUUUUCCCUUGCAAAUGUGUCUAAAUAAAGCAAAUGAUUAGGUCUGGACGUAUUCUUUUCUUUUUUGAUCAAGAUGGUCGGG